rnacentral:lncRNA from 1 species
CACCAGCAUGGCACAUGUAUUCAUAUGUAACUAACCUGCACAAUGUGCACAUGUACCCUAAAACUUAAAGUAUAAUUAAAAAAAAAAACAAACUUUCCUAUGGCAACACAUUAACUAUGAGACACAUACAAAUCCAUUGCAGAGCAAACAAACCGAACCAUUACCUGGUUGCUUCUUAUAUUCUCUAUCUUUCACUUUGUAAUCUAGAAAUGCCAGAUUACUAUAGUUCUCUAAUGCAACCAUGAUGAAUUAUGCACACUGUUGUCCAAAAUAAUUCCUCUGCUUGCAAUCUUACAAACCUUGACUUUGUUGACUCAUGCUUGAGACUUAGCUCAUACUUAUAUCUUCCAGAAAGCGGCCUAUAACCCCUGAAUUCCUAAGUCUUCACCGUGGACCUUUCAUGUUAAUCCCAUAGCACCCUCUGCUGUCUUCCAUUAUAGCAUGUAUCAUAGUGCUUUUUUCCAUCUUUCCUUCUUAUUGAACUGGAAUUGUGAACUCCUCAAUGUCAAGGACAAAUGUAUUGACCAGUAUUUUAUUCAUCUCUCUGCUGUACUCCUCUUUCCACCUUUUGGAUGGGAACAGGUGGACAGAGAGAGACAGAGUAAAGCAGAGACAAAGAUACCAGAAAUAUCGAGAGAGGAAACAGUGACUAAGGGAACUCUAGAGCAGAACUACUUGCUUAAAGUAAGUCCCAUUACCUAAGAUUGUGUGGGUGUGUCUCUGUUGCUUGCAAUCUGAAAGAAUAGAAUGAACAUAACACUCAAUAAAUGUUCAUGGGCUUGUCUGAUAGUAGUGGGUUAUCACAGCAUAUUAACAUUAGUGUCGCUGAAGUCAGUAUACAACCCCAUCACUGAUAAAUUUGAUUGGUUUAAAAGAAAUUAAAAUAAACAAAUAAAUAAAUGUUCAUGGGAUAGCUUUCUGGUAAGCAACAAAUAUCCUUUUUACUUCUAUCACAUGCUCUGUUUCUUCACUCUAAUCAUUUUUUUUUCCCAUUGGGAAUGUCUGUUCCAAUUAUCUAUGCCCAUUCAGACCGAACUCUUUAAGCUUGAGUAAAAUCCCAUUGUCUCGAGGAAGCCUUCUCCAAUUACUCCAGGAAACAUUAUUUUUAUCAUGUCUGAAACCCUAGAAUACUGACUCUUAUUCUCAUCAUUCAUAAAUAUUUUAGGACUUCCUUUCCUUCAUGUUUAUUUAAUCUCAAAAAGUGCUGUCUGAUUAAACAUAUUGAUAAUUGUGUUGUGGUUGAUUCCCAUAUUUGGUAUUGACGAUAAAUGAAAAUAAUGAUUAAUUGAAUGUUUUUCUCUUUUUCUGGUUUUCCUUUCAGUUAAAAUAUUUGUAGACCUAUAAUUUUAAAAGUUCAGAUGUUUAACCUUGAAUGUAUUUAGACUUUUGUUUAAUCUUCCAUGUGUUAUUAUGAAAAACUAGUAUUUCUAGUUUCUGUUCAAUUUGCCACAACUUCUCUAGGUGACCUUGGGCAAAAUUAUUUCCUC